rnacentral:ncRNA from 1 species
GAUGGGAAAAGAUAUUUCAUGUAAUAAGAAAGCCAGCAUAUAAGAGGCAGGAGGAUCACUUGAGGCCAGGAGUUUGAGACCAGCCCAGACAACAUAAGGAGACCCUGUCUCUACAAAAAAAAAAAAAAAAAGCCAGAAGCGCCUGGCUCACGCCUGUAAUCCCAGCACUUUGGGAGGCCUAGAUGAGGGGAUUCCUUGGGAAUCCGACUGUUGAAUUAAAACAAAACACGGCUUAGGCUGCUGUGGGUAUUGACGUCUUGUGAUUUCUGUGCAGGGCACUGAAUGUCAAAGUGAAGGAAUUCAAUGAAGCCCGGAUCAAGGGCAGGAGCAACCGUGACCCUCUUAAAAGAGCCAAUGUCCCAUGUAAUUAGUGACGCGCGCGAAUGGAUAGACGCUAUUCCCACCGUCCCUACAUAGCAUCCAGCGACACCACAGCCAAGGGACAGGCUUGGCGGAACCUGCGGGAGAGAAGAACCCUCUGAGCCUGAUUGAAAGGCGGUGAAGAGACAGGAGAGGGGGAUCAGUGGGCGGUCCCGCCUCCAUCUUCAGUUCCCGCAUGGGGGCGAGGCAGGUACAUGGGCCUUGCUGGCUGUGGGUGAAAUUCCAUUAUUAAUUGUUUUUUCACUAACCUGGUGGGGGAGUCGGGCGCGAGUUUCGAGAGAAGCUCUGGCUUCUGGCGCCAAGCCUUAGCCAAGCUCACCAGGGGCAGCGCUAGAUGGGGAGACUGGGACACACGUCUGAACGCAGAUGUCCGAAGGGAGCGCAGGAAGACAGAAGCCUCCCGUUGGGCAGGAGGGCAAAAGCUCCUGCGUCUUGGAUUUGCAACAGGAGUUCAGACGGUGAAAGCAGGGCCUCAGGAUCCUUCUGACCUUUUGAGUUUUAAACAAGGGGUGUCAGAAAAGUCGUCACAGGGAUAACUGAUUUGCAGCAGGAAAGCAUUCAUAGGAAUGAGGCUUCUUUUUGUUUUUGUCUUUGUUUUUUGUUUUUUUUGUUUUUGUUUUUUUUUUUUGACAGGGUCUCAUUCUGUGGCACAGGCUGGAGUGCAGUGGUGCCACCAUUGCUCACUGCGCUAUGUGAGCUAUGUGAUCGGCGCUCAAGUGAUACUCUCGCCUCAGCCUCCAAAAUAAACGGGACCGCAGGCCUGAGCCACCAUGUCCUGUGGCUUUUUAAUCCUUUUGAUCCUUGGAUGUGGGCUCUUCCUAUCAUUGGAAGACAGAAUUCACCAAGGUUGGAUUGUUCACCCACUCAGAAAACCUGAGCUGGGGCCGGGGCUGGGGCUGUGGCUCACGCCUAUAAUCCCAGCACUUUGGUAGGCCAAGGCGGGCGAAUCACCUGAGGUUGGAAGUUCGAGGCCAGCCUGGCCAACAUGGUGAAACCCCCAUCUCUACUGAAAAUACAAAAAUUAGCCGGGCGUGGUGGCGCAUGCCUGUAAUCCCAGCUACUCGGGAGGCUGAGGCAGGAGAAUCACUUGAACCAGGGAGGCAGAGGUUGCAGUGAGCUGAGAUGGUGUCACUGCACUCCAGCCUGGGCAACAAGAGCGAAACUUCGUCAAAAAAAAAAAAAAAAGAAAGAAACAAACAAACAAAGAAGAAAAGAAAAGGAAAGAAAAGAAAGCCGGAGCUGGGAUUAGACCAUGUGAGACAGGUUGAUUUCACGCUAGUGAGCAUGCGUGGUUGCCAUGGUGCUCUUGCCCAGUACCACAGGUCCCCAGGUUCAGACGUUUGGUGCCUGUGCUUGGAUGAGGGACCACUGGGCUAAGCUGCCAUCCGUGGGAUGCUGACUAAAGGCCUCCAAGUCAGAAUAUGCCCAGGCAGAACUAUAGGGCAGCGCCAUGAAGCCUCAGCUGGCCUGGGAUAGCCGGUCGUCGCCAACAGGACGCAGUGCAGCAGGGUUGAGGCCCCAUGCGGAGAGCUCAUUGUCUUGGGAAACCGGCAGUGGGAAGGGUGGCUGGCCCCUCGCCCUUCAAGCAAGGCCCAUUCGUGGGGAACCUGGCGCUAAACCAUCCCUAGAGGAGCUGCUUCUGGGUCCGAGUUUUCUCUGCAGCAGAGUGGCUCCCUGGAUGGGAUCUAUUGACAGUUAGCCCUCCACACAGGCGUGU